rnacentral:rRNA from 1 species
UACAGAGGGUGCGAGCGUUAAUCGGAAUUACUGGGCGUAAAGCGCACGUAGGCGGCGAUUUAAGUCAGAGGUGAAAAGCCCGGGGGCUCAACCCCGGAAUAGCCUUUGAGACUGGAUUGCUAGAAUCUUGGAGAGGCGGGUGGAAUUCCGAGUGUAGAGGUGAAAUUCGUAGAUAUUCGGAAGAACACCAGUGGCGAAGGCGGCCCGCUGGACAAGUAUUGACGCUGAGGUGCGAAAGCGUGGGGAGCAAACAGG